GGCAUGCCUUACACAUGCAAGUCGAACGGUAACAGGUCUUCGGACGCUGACGAGUGGCGAACGGGUGAGUAAUACAUCGGAACGUGCCCAGUCGUGGGGGAUAACUACUCGAAAGAGUAGCUAAUACCGCAUACGAUCUGAGGAUGAAAGCGGGGGACCUUCGGGCCUCGCGCGAUUGGAGCGGCCGAUGGCAGAUUAGGUAGUUGGUGGGAUAAAAGCUUACCAAGCCGACGAUCUGUAGCUGGUCUGAGAGGACGACCAGCCACACUGGGACUGAGACACGGCCCAGACUCCUACGGGAGGCAGCAGUGGGGAAUUUUGGACAAUGGGCGAAAGCCUGAUCCAGCAAUGCCGCGUGCAGGAUGAAGGCCUUCGGGUUGUAAACUGCUUUUGUACGGAACGAAAAAGCUUCUCCUAAUACGAGAGGCCCAUGACGGUACCGUAAGAAUAAGCACCGGCUAACUACGUGCCAGCAGCCGCGGUAAUACGUAGGGUGCGAGCGUUAAUCGGAAUUACUGGGCGUAAAGCGUGCGCAGGCGGUUAUGUAAGACAGAUGUGAAAUCCCCGGGCUCAACCUGGGAACUGCAUUUGUGACUGCAUGGCUAGAGUACGGUAGAGGGGGAUGGAAUUCCGCGUGUAGCAGUGAAAUGCGUAGAUAUGCGGAGGAACACCGAUGGCGAAGGCAAUCCCCUGGACCUGUACUGACGCUCAUGCACGA
rnacentral:rRNA from 1 species